AACUCAUGGUGAGGGCACUUUCUCAACAGAUCCUUGUAUUUCUCCCAUGUAUCAUAGAGUGUUUCUAAAUCCAUCUGCACAAAAGAAGAGAUAUCAUUUCGUAACUU
rnacentral:snoRNA from 1 species